AACGGAAUAGUUCAGUUUGGUUAGAACAUUGGAAUCAUAAUCCAAGAGUCGUAGGUUCAAAUCCUACUUUCGUUA
rnacentral:tRNA from 1 species